UCCGCCAUCAUCGCGCUGGAACAUGGGCUGCCGCAGGUCGGCGUACUCUCUUCUCGCGCUCUCUUUCUUCAUCCGGCCGAUCUGUGAUGAGUGAUGACGAAGGCCGCCGCCUCCACCUUGCCACGAUCUCGCCGCGCUUGGCCAGUGUGUUGCCGGCCUUCGCCGGCGUACCGCACGCGGUCGCCCUCCGUCGCCGUGCCCCCUGCCCACCAUCUCUCCUUCAUGGAUCACCCAUCCCGCGCCGACCUCCUCAAGGUGAGUAGAGGAGGGGGCGAGUCGGCAACGUCGCUCCGCGAUUGAGGCUAUCGACAUGGGCAGAGGGACGGUUGUGGAGAUGGAGAUGGCUCUGUGGUGGUGGCCCUGGUGAGAGCCUUGGCAGCCGGCUCAAUACUAUGAAUUUACUGCUUGGGCUCCAAUUUGGAGAGUGCAGCUUCGUCAUUGUCAUCAGCAUCGUAAGGGAGACAAAGGACAGUAAUCAUGUGAAGCUAUGGACUACUAUGUGAAGCUAUGGACUACUAUGUCAUCAGCAUCAUGAUGAAGUUUAUGUUUGACACAACCAUGUAUUUUUCUUUGUCUCACGGGGCUUCAAAAUGCUAGCAGGUGUUAUACGAAGCAAGCUGCUGCGAUAAAGAAGCUGACCUCGCAAUCGAAGGCAAGAUUGAUGUGGAUAUUUCCUUUGGGAACAUGGAGCUGCCCAUAACAAAGUGGGUGGAAUCACUCGCCUCAAGGAAACAAUAUGAGGUAUUGAUUAUAUGCCGCUAUCUGUUGAUUAUUAGAUUCUCAUUAUUUACUAUCUAGGCCAGUGUAGCCUUGUCUUGACUUGGAUUGAAUGACAAUAGAAGGAGUACCAGUUAGGACCAAUCAUUUACACAUAGAUGUAUGUGUACAUGGGUGUAAUAGCUGAAUUAAUAUGCCUUUUCUGAAUUGUGGAUGCAGUAGUUCACGCCAAUGAAUAUUGCAUUGCAGUUCUAUUCACUUCUAAUGCAU